rnacentral:tRNA from 1 species
GGAUAUGUGUCCGAAAGAUAGGACUUACCUUGAUAAGGUGAAUAAUAGAGGUUCAAACCCACUCAUCUC